rnacentral:rRNA from 1 species
ACGCUCGACACCUACGGGGAGGCAGCAGUGGGGAAUAUUGCACAAUGGGGGAAACCCUGAUGCAGCGACGCCGCGUGACUGAAGAAGUAUUUCGGUAUGUAAAGGUCUAUCAGCAAGGAAGAAGAAAGACGGUACUUGACUAAGAAGCCCCGGCUAACUACGUGCCCGCAGCCGCGGUAAUCUGAGCGGGCUGGCAAGGC